GAUGAACGCUGGCGGCGUGCUUAACACAUGCAAGUCGAACGAAGCACUUUGGGCAGAUUCUUCGGAUGAAGUCCUUAGUGACUGAGUGGCGGACGGGUGAGUAACGCGUGGGUAACCUGCCUCAUACAGGGGGAUAACAGUUAGAAAUGGCUGCUAAUACCGCAUAAGCGCACGGUACUGCAUGGUACAGUGUGAAAAACUCCGGUGGUAUGAGAUGGACCCGCGUUGGAUUAGCUAGUUGGCAGGGUAACGGCCUACCAAGGCGACGAUCCAUAGCCGGCCUGAGAGGGUGGACGGCCACAUUGGGACUGAGACACGGCCCAGACUCCUACGGGAGGCAGCAGUGGGGAAUAUUGCACAAUGGGGGAAACCCUGAUGCAGCGACGCCGCGUGAGCGAAGAAGUAUUUCGGUAUGUAAAGCUCUAUCAGCAGGGAAGAAAAUGACGGUACCUGACUAAGAAGCCCCGGCUAA
rnacentral:rRNA from 1 species